GGCCCGCCUGGCAGGACUACCGACCAAGGCCUUGGAAAACCGGAGCGAUUAGAGCAGUGAGUCGCGCUGGUCACGUUGGACACCUGCGCGUUGGGAGAUUCUGGAGCCAGAAGGACAGCCGAAUGGCAUUCUCCCGCCCUGCCCCUCGCCCGCUUCAGAAGCCCCCGGAAACGCCCUGGUCCGCGGCCCGGGCCGGAGCCGCCAGGGGGCCUAAGAAUGGGGAGAAAUUGAAGGGAAAAUGGAGAUGAACCUGAAAGAGCCCCAAACGCGAGAACGUGUACCUCCCCCAAGAAUAAGAUCUUCCAGAAGAAUGAGACAGAAAAACUAGUCAUCUGGGAACCGUGAAAUCCUUGGAGGAGUAGCAUCAUCAUGACCCUCUGUGUUCCUUUUAACAGAAGGACUUGCUUCCAUUGUUUGUUUGUUCAAUUGUUUGUGUUUGUUAAAUAAAUAAAACUCUUUUCAUGUAUCUUUGAAAUUAUGUUGGUUCUAUUACUUUAUGAUUACAAACAAUGCUGCAGUCGUCAUUCUUGUACAUUUCUCAUUGGCCACUGGUGUAUCUCUAUAGGGUAGAGGCAUGGAGAGCAGUUGUUCCAGCGUAGUGAUUACAUGGUUUUUUAUAUCAUUCCAUUUUCUUCCUUUUUUGGCUUAUUAGCUGUAAUUCUUUCUUUUGUUAAGUCAGUGAUGGCUUUAGGGUUCCUAGAAUACAUCUUUAUCAGUCUGCCAUCGAGUGACAUUAUACUUCCCCUUCUGGCCUUUAUGCUAGUGUUAUGUCAUUUGAUUUUAGACAUGUUAUAAACCCCAACAUCUGAGUAUGUACAUAGCGAUUUUUAGUCAUCUCCAUUUCUUUGUGUAGGUUCAGAUUUCUGUCUGGUAUCCUCAUCCUUAGGCCUGGAGGACUCCUUUAACAUUUCUUGUAGUGUGGGUUGGUCAAUGCUUUCAUUUAUUUGUAUGUCUUUAUUUUUAUUUGUAUUUUGUUGAGAUGGAGUCUCGCUCUGUUACACAGGCUGGAGUACAGUGGCAUGAUCUUUGCUCGCUCCAACCUCCAUCUCCUGGGCACAAGUGAUUCUCAUGCCUCAGCCUCCUGAGUAGCUGGGAUCACAGGCAUGUGCCACCACGCCUGGCUAAUUUUUGUAUUUUUAGUAGAGACAGGGUUUUGCCAUGUUGGCCAGGCUGGUCUCCCAACUCCCUGUCCUCAAGUGAUCCACCUGCCUCAGCUUCCCAAAGUGCUGAGAUUACAGGCAUGAGCCACCACGCUUGGCCUCAUUUUUUUGUAUAUCUUUGAGUGUCCUUAUUCCAGUCACAUUUUUUAAAGAUUUUUCAUUGUGGGAUAGAAUUCCAGAAUAAGUAUUUUUCCUCUCACUACUUUAGGAUAUUGCCCUUUGAUGCCUUGUCAUUGAUAUAUCAUCUUUUCUGUUUUUGUAAAACUGGCAUAAAGGAGGUUUCCUGUACUUGUUAUAUAAUUUUUGAAAUGUGUAUUUAAAUUUUUUUUAAAAAAUUAUACUAUACUUUAAGUUCUGGGAUACAUGUGCAGAACGUGCAGGUUUGUUACAUAGGUAUACAUGUGCCAUGGUGGUUUGCUGCACCCAUCAACCCGUCGUCUACAUUAGGUAUUUCUCAUAAUGCAAUCCUUCUCCUUGCCCUCUAGCCCUGAGAGGUCCUGGUGUGUGAUGUUCCCCUCCCUGUUUCCAUGUGUUCUCAUUUUCAACUCCCAUUUAUGAGUGAGAACAUGUGGUGUUUGGUUUUCUGUUCCUGUGUUAAUUUGCUGAGAAUGAUGGUUUCCAGUUUUAUCCAUGUCCCUGCAAAGGACAUGAACUCCUUUUUAAUGGCUGCAUAGUAUUCCAUGGUGUAUGAGUGACACGUUUUCUUUAUCCAGUCUACCAUCAAUGGGCAUGUGAGUUUGUUCCAAGCCUUUGCUACUGUGAAUAAUGCUGCAAUAAACAUACGUGUGCAUGUGUCUUUAUAG
ensembl:lncRNA